UACGGAGGGAGCUAGCGUUGUUCGGAAUUACUGGGCGUAAAGCGCACGUAGGCGGCUAUUCAAGUCGGGGGUGAAAGCCCGGGGCUCAACCCCGGAACUGCCCUCGAAACUAGAUAGCUAGAAUCUUGGAGAGGCGAGUGGAAUUCCGAGUGUAGAGGUGAAAUUCGUAGAUAUUCGGAAGAACACCAGUGGCGAAGGCGACUCGCUGGACAAGUAUCGACGCUGAGGUGCGAAAGCGUGGGGAGCAAACAGG
rnacentral:rRNA from 1 species